rnacentral:tRNA from 1 species
CGGAACGUGGCGCAGCCUGGUAGCGCACCUGAAUGGGGUUCAGGGGGUCGCGGGUUCAAAUCCCGCCGUUCCGACAA